UACGUAGGGGCCUAGCGUUGUCCGGAUUUACUGGGCGUAAAGAGCUCGUAGGUGGUUUGUCGCGUUGUUCGUGAAAACUCACAACUCAAUUGUGGGCGUGCGGGCGAUACGGGCAGACUGGAGUACUGCAGGGGAGACUGGAAUUCCUGGUGUAGCGGUGGAAUGCGCAGAUAUCAGGAGGAACACCGGUGGCGAAGGCGGGUCUCUGGGCAGUAACUGACGCUGAGGAGCGAAAGCGUGGGGAGCGAACAGG
rnacentral:rRNA from 1 species